CACUCACGUCGUUUUUCAUGGAUCAGGAAGCACUUGACACGAUGAUUCGUAGAUACAGCAGCAGCUUGUAGUGUAACGUUAUGCGUGAAAGAAAAGCCUCAUCUCACUGGCUGCUAUGACCUAGCUAGUGAAGCGUUCUUUUCAUAUUGAGUUUAACCAACAAAAAAAAUCAAUUUUGGUAUUUAUUUAAGUAGUUAUUUUACUUGUAACUGUUUAUGGUUGCAUUGUCGGGAGCCUAUUAUUUGCUAGCCAGCCACGCAGCGGCUAGCUGGCUAGUUGACCGACGUCUUGUGGAUUGAUAUCUCAGCUCGCUGACGGUAACGUUAGUAGCGGGUAGCCGAGUCCAAGGCAAGGAACAGCUGCUUUUAAUCUUAGUGUUUUAAUCCCUGUUUUUACUUGUUAAAGAAGAUGAAGAUAACGGUGGAAUUCGAGGAAUGUCUCAAAGAUUCUCCAAGAUUCAGGGCCACCAUAGAGGAGGUGGAGGGGGAUGUUGGGGAGUUGGAGUCCAAACUCGACAAGCUAGUGAAGCUGUGCAUCGGGAUGAUCGACGCCGGCAAGGCCUACAACACGGCAAACAGACAGUUUGUCAACGGAAUCCGCGAGCUCGCUGCGAGCUCCACCAAAGAUGAGGUCAUUGAGUCCAGUCUCACAACGUUUGCUGAGAGUCUGCAAGAGAUGAUCAACUAUCACACGAUUUUGUUUGACCAGGCCCAGCGAUCGAUUAAGACGCAGCUUCUAACGUUUGUCAAAGAGGACCUGCGUAAGUUCAAAGAGGCCAAGAAGCAGUUUGACAAGGUGAGUGAGGAGAAGGAGGCGGCGUUGACCAAGAAUGCCCAGGCGCCGCGCAACAAGCAGCACGAGGUGGAGGAGGCCACCAACAUCCUGACGGCCACACGCCAGUGCUUCCGCCACAUCGUCCUUGACUACGUCCUCCAGAUCAAUGUACUACAGUCCAAGAGAAGAUCGGAAAUCCUCAAAUCGAUGCUGUCCUUCAUGUACGCCCACCUGACCUUCUUCCACCAGGGUUACGACCUUUUCAGUGAACUGCAACCGCUCAUGAAACAGCUGGGGGGUCAGCUGGACCAGCUGGUGGUGGAUGCAGCCAAGGAGAAGAGGGACAUGGAGCAGAAACACUCCACCAUUCAACAGAAGGCUGCACUGCAGGAGGUGACAGAGGUUGACCCUUUACCCGAUGGCCGCAGCUUUUGCGCAUGGAGAUCCUCCGACUUCUCGAAUGACGACACCAAGCUGGAGUACAAUGUGGAUGCAGACAAUGGCAUUGCGAUGGAGGGCUACCUGUUUAAGAGGGCCAGCAACGCCUUCAAAACAUGGAACAGGCGCUGGUUCUCCAUUCAAAACAAUCAGCUAGUUUACCAGAAGAAAUUCAAGGAUAAUCCCACAGUGGUGGUGGAGGACUUGCGGCUAUGUACAGUCAAACACUGUGAGGAUAUCGAACGCCGCUUCUGCUUUGAAGUGGUGUCCCCCACCAAGAGCUGUAUGAUGCAGGCUGACUCUGAGAAGUUGAGGCAGGCCUGGAUCAAAGCUGUCCAGAACAGCAUUGCCACUGCCUUCAGGGAGCAGGGAGAGGACGCUGAGAAGCUGGACCGGAAGUCUUCCACGUCCACAGGCAGCCUGGACUCGGGCGGCGAGCCCAAAGAGAGGUCACUAAAGGGGGAGAGCGCCCUCCAGAGGGUCAUAGUCAUUGGGGGCAACGCCUGCUGCUGUGACUGUGGCCAGCCUGACCCACGCUGGGCCAGCAUCAACCUGGGCAUCACCCUCUGCAUCCAGUGCUCUGGGAUACACAGGAGUCUGGGGGUCCAUUUCUCCAAAGUGCGCUCGCUCACCCUGGACUCCUGGGAACCGGAACUACUCAAGCUGAUGUGUGAGCUGGGUAAUGGGGUCAUCAACCAGAUCUACGAGGCUCGGAGAGAGGAGCUGGGAGCCAGGAAGCCAAAGCCGGCAGACCCUAGGCAGGAGAUCGAAGCCUACAUCAGGGCUAAGUACGUGGACCGGCGUUUCGUGCAGCGCCUGUCCAAUGAAGAGUUGCGCUCCAAGGUGGUAUCCCUGUCCAGGCAGGAGAAGAGGCUGAGCAGCAGCACGGAACACCUGCCCCCCCGGCCGCCCCCGUCCACGCCCAAACUCCGUCCCGCCUCCAACGCCUCAGGUCAGUCCGCUGCAGCCAAGGGCUUGGAGGCGCGCCGCGACUCUCUCUUCUGUCCCGACGAGCUUGACUCGCUCUUCUUCUACUUUGACACCUCUGCCAAGCUCAGGAGCAUAAGAAGUGCAGACAGUGGUAUCCAGAACAGUGCUGAUGGGAGUAGAGAGAUGCUGGCCAAGAACCCCUCCACCAACAACCUGGCUGAAGCAGAAGCUGCCGAGGCGCCCCCCAUGGCCAUGCCUGCCACCCUGCCCCCUCCAUCGCCCUGUAAGGAGCUGGUGGUGUUCACGGAGCCCAAGGAGUACUCCCCGGGGCUGCAGCUGUACUGGGCCUCGCGUGCCCGCAGCCUGCCCGACAUGGCCGAGGCCCUGGCGCACGGAGCAGAGGUCAACUGGGUCAACACCGACGACGACAAGAGGACCCCGCUCAUCAUGGCUGUGCAGGGGGGCUCGUUGGUGACCUGUGAGUUCCUGCUCCAGAACGCGGGAAACGUGAACCAGCAGGACGCACUGGGCCGAGGACCCCUCCACCAUGCCACCAUCCUGGGACACACCGGUCAAGUGUGUUUAUUCCUGAAAAGAGGAGCCAAUCAGAAUGCGGCAGACAUUGAAGCGAAAACGCCCCUAUCCAUGGCGGUGGACGCAGCCAACGCAGACAUAGUCACAUUACUGCGAUUGGCCAAGAUGAACGAGGAGAUGCGGGAGGCGGAGGGGCCCUACAUGCAGUCAGGUCAAUAUUCUACCAACAGCCCCACAGAGAUGCAAUACAGGAAGUGCAUGCAGGAGUUCAUUUGCCUGCAGUUGGCUGAGCCUUAGAGAUCAUAGAGCCCCAAUACACAGACAGGAGAAGCAACAUACCUUUAUUAAGCAGGCAUUUGGCCCUGCGAUGUCCUGUGUUGUUCAAUACCCACUUUAUUAAGCAGGCAUUUGGCCCUGCGAUGUCCUGUGUUGUUCAAUACCCACUUUAUUAAGCAGGCAUUUGGCCCUGCGAUGUCCUGUGUUCAAUACCAGCCAGGUGGUGAGCGAAGCUGCAUUUUGUGUUUAGAGAGAGGUGCUAGACUUUUAUUUAUGUGACCAACCGGGGUCAAAGACAGCCGUAGAGCCAUUGUUUUGACUAUUGAACAGCUGUGACAUAAACAGUCGCUGGUCCUCUGAAGUCAUGGCUGUUGUUUCGUCUGUUCCGACUUUUGUCUUUUCCAACUUUCAAACAAUAGCCACGUCUUUAUUAGCUGUGAUGUCGAAGAGCGCUUUGCAACAGAGGUUGUCAUUAUAUCGAACAGCAAUGCUACGUCAGUCUUGACUAACAGGAAGUAAUCCUGACUUUGGAAUGCCAGUUUUCACCAUCAGGCUGUUGAGUGGCUAGCCGUGUGUUGCCAUGCACCAGGUGUGAUGAUUAGUGAUUUACCUGAGGGAAUAUUUAUGCACAUUCCUGGGAUGCUUAUGCAAUAUUUCAGUGUGUUACAUGUUUGGUUUCCACAGUGAGUCUUCACCUCCCCCUUUUUAAAAUACCUUUUCUUCCUCUCUUGUUUGAACUGUUUACCGUUACAAUGAUGAAGUAUCAAUCUUGGUACAUGUUAUGUAGGCAUUUUACUUUUGUGGGGGAAGACAUAUUUUUGAAAACAGUUGCUUUUUUAAAAAUAACAAUUGGAACCAUAUAAUCGUAAGAUGUCAUUGUAAAUGAUGUGUUGUACAUAAAUAUACAUACAUUUCUAUAUCAUAUACAGUAUAAGCAGAAUAGGAAGUAAAGUUGAGGGAGAUUCUCUGAAGGCGUAAGGCGACUGUGCUUGCAUCCUUGUCUUUGUGUGUUUCUGUAUUGUGUUGUAUUUUCUACACCUGUUUUUAAGAGUAUUAAGCUUUGAUUGAUUGUUAGUCUACCUGGCUACGGUAUAGAACAUUUACCCCCUCUGGGAAUCCUGUUCUUUGUCUGACAUUUGACAUUGAGACCACCCUUAAAGGGAUACUUCUGAGACCACCCUUAAAGGGAUACUUUGGGAUUUUAGCAGAGGCCCUUCAUCUACUUCCAGAGUCAGAUGAACUUGUGGAUACCAUUUUUUAUGUCUCUGUGUCCAGUAUGAAGGAAGUUGGAGGUAGUUUUGCAAGCCAAUGCUUACUAGCGUUAGUGCAAUGACUGGAAGUCUAUGGUUAUCUGCUAGCAUGCGAAGUAUUCCUUUUAAUGUUAGCUGAGACUGGUAAGGGUGUGAAUUUUAAGUUUAGACAAGGGAUAUCAUGGUGGUAGAGGGUACCAAAAAGGAAGGACAAUAGUAUAGAAAAGUAUCUACAGCAUUUUACCACAUAGUUAUAUAAUUAACUUAAACCUAUUGGAUAAAAAAAAAAAAAAGAGACUUUCUCUAAGAAUGUGAAUAUAGGACAGCGUGAAGCUCACUCAAGUAUUGUUGGUAAAUAAUGAAUGAAAUGUACCCCUCUUCAUCCUUUAUGCUUUCAUCUUCUCCAUCGCACAGUCUGUGCCCCUGGAAAUGCGCCUGGGCCUGAUGGGUAAUUUAAAUGGGCACAAAAAGCACUUUUUAUAGUUACUGACGUAUCAAAGCUGUUUCUAGAAGUCCAUACAAGCCAAGAUGCCCCCUAGUGCUUCCUGGGUAUCGGUGUUACAUGACACUGGCUAUGUGGCCAAAGGGGAUGGAUAUCAGCUGAAAGAGAACACGCUGGCCCGAUCGCAAAUCGACCCCUACACCCUGUGCACUUGUGAAGAUCUGAGAGGAUUUGAUUGGUGUAAGCAAUAUGCUAAACAUAGGAUUUGGGUUUGGGCCAGAGACUCCAUGUCUCCAGUCAGCCAUCUUACUGUAUGUUGAGCCAGUUGGACAGUUCAGAGGCAAGACAUUGGUUGUUCAUAUUAUGUCAAUGGUGGUCUCAUGGACCAUGGAGACCAGCCAAUGGUGAUGCACGGAGGAGAUUUGGAUAUCAGUUUAAAUAUAGAGAUUUUAAUGAAUAGUGCUGUUCCUGAAAAGUCUUGUCUAAGGCUAGUUUGUAAUAGGUCUGACAGGGUGAGGAAACAACUAGUUUAUAGUGGGUCUGAUAGGGUGAGGAAACAACUAGUUUAUAGUGGGUCUGAUAGGGUGAGGAAACAACUAGUUUAUAGUGGGUCUGACAGGGUGAGGAAACAACUAGUUUAUAGUGGGUCUGACAGUGAGGAAACAACUAGUUUAUAGUGGGUCUGACAGGGUGAGGAAACAACUAGUUUAUAGUGGGUCUGACAGGGUGAGGAAACAACUAGUUUAUAGUGGGUCUGACAGUGAGGAAACAACUAGUUUAUAGUGGGUCUGACAGGGUGAGGAAACAACUAGUUUAUAGUGGGUCUGACAGUGAGGAAACAACUAGUUUAUAGUGGGUCUGACAGGGUGAGGAAACAACUAGUUUAUAGUGGGUCUGACAGGGUGAGGAAACAACUAGUUUAUAGUGGGUCUGACAGGGUGAGGAAACAACUAGUUUAUAGUGGGUCUGACAGUGAGGAAACAACUAGUUUAUAGUGGGUCUGACAGGGUGAGGAAACAACUAGUUUAUAGUGGGUCUGAUAGGGUGAGGAAACAACUAGUUUAUAGUGGGUCUGACAGGGUGAGGAAACAACUAGUUUAUAGUGGGUCUGAUAGGGUGAGGAAACAACUAGUUUAUAGUGGGUCUGACAGGGUGAGGAAACGACUAGUUUAUAGUGGGUCUGACAGGGUGAGGAAACAACUAGUUUAUAGUGGGUCUGACAGGGUGAGGAAACGACUAGUUUAUAGUGGGUCUGACAGGGUGAGGAAACAACUAGUUUAUAGUGGGUCUGACAGUGAGGAAACGACUAGUUUAGUGGGUCUGACAGGGUGAGGAAACAACUAGUUUAUAGUGGGUCUGACAGGGUGAGGAAACAACUAGUUUAUAGUGGGUCUGACAGUGAGGAAACAACUAGUUUAUAGUGGGUCUGACAGGGUGAGGAAACAACUAGUUUAUAGUGGGUCUGACAGGGUGAGGAAACAACUAGUUUAUAGUGGGUCUGACAGGGUGAGGAAACAACUAGUUUAUAGUGGGUCUGACAGGGUGAGGAAACAACUAGUUUAUAGUGGGUCUGACAGGGUGAGGAAACCACUAGUUUAUAGUGGGUCUGACAGGGUGAGGAAACAACUAGUUUAUAGUGGGUCUGACAGUGAGGAAACAACUAGUUUAUAGUGGGUCUGACAGGGUGAGGAAACAACUAGUUUAUAGUGGGUCUGACAGGGUGAGGAAACAACUAGUUUAUAGUGGGUCUGACAGUGAGGAAACAACUAGUUUAUAGUGGGUCUGACAGGGUGAGGAAACAACUAGUUUAUAGUGGGUCUGACAGUGAGGAAACAACUAGUUUAUAGUGGGUCUGACAGGGUGAGGAAACCACUAGUUUAUAGGGGGUCUGACAGGGUGAGGAAACAACUAGUUUAUAGUGGGUCUGACAGUGAGGAAACAACUAGUUUAUAGUGGGUCUGACAGGGUGAGGAAACAACUAGUUUAUAGUGGGUCUGACAGGGUGAGGAAACAACUAGUUUAUAGUGGGUCUGACAGUGAGGAAACAACUAGUUUAUAGUGGGUCUGACAGGGUGAGGAAACAACUAGUUUAUAGUGGGUCUGACAGUGAGGAAACAACUAGUUUAUAGUGGGUCUGACAGGGUGAGGAAACAACUAGUUUAUAGUGGGUCUGACAGGGUGAGGAAACAACUAGUUUAUAGUGGGUCUGACAGUGAGGAAACAACUAGUUUAUAGUGGGUCUGACAGUGAGGAAACAACUAGUUUAUAGUGGGUCUGACAGUGAGGAAACAACUAGUUUAUAGUGGGUCUGACAGGGUGAGGAAACAACUAGUUUAUAGUGGGUCUGACAGGGUGAGGAAACAACUAGUUAAUAGUGGGUCUGACAGUGAGGAAACAACUAGUUUAUAGUGGGUCUGACAGGGUGAGGAAACAACUAGUUAAUAGUGGGUCUGACAGUGAGGAAACAACUAGUUUAUAGUGGGUCUGACAGGGUGAGGAAACAACUAGUUUAUAGUGGGUCUGACAGGGUGAGGAAACGACUUGUGCAAUUACCUCUUGUGGCCACUGGAGAGAGUGCUGGAUUUAGAAAUCCCCCAAUUCACUCUGAGUGAGUGGAAUAUACAGAGGGAUAACUGUUGCGUUUGAGAGGGAGUCUUGCCCAUUCACCCUAUGAAUGGCACACAUACACAAUCCAUAUCUCAAUUGUCUCAAGGCUUAAAAAUC